rnacentral:lncRNA from 1 species
GGGGUUUCUUUUAUUUGCAUUUUAACUGGCACAUUUACAUGGCUAUUCGAAAACUUGUCUUUUAAAGAAUUCCUUGUAUAAGUUUAAUUUGUAUAUGAAAAUUAUCCAUAUGAUUUCACCAUCGUAUUUAAACUUUGCAGCAACCUAAAGGAGAAACAAUAAGACCUUUCAGCGUGUCUAUCAAUGAAGAUUCGUUUGACAAUGGUCUAUAUGGAAAUAUAGGUGAGACCGGUCUCAAAAUCCAAUAUGUAAUGAAAGAAAAGUCUCAUGUCCGAGAACAUGGAAAAUUUUGAUAUUAAGGUACCAGAAAUUGAAUAUCACUAUAU